rnacentral:rRNA from 1 species
UACGGAGGGGGCGAGUGUUGUUCGGAAUUACUGGGCGUAAAGCGCACGUAGGCGGCUUUUUAAGUCAGAGGUGAAAGCCCGGAGCUCAACUCCGGAACUGCCUUUAAGACUGCAUCGCUAGAAUUGUGGAGAGGUGAGUGGAAUUCCGAGUGUAGAGGUGAAAUUCGUAGAUAUUCGGAAGAACACCAGUGGCGAAGGCGACUCACUGGACACAUAUUGACGCUGAGGUGCGAAAGCGUGGGGAGCAAACAGG